GUGACCUCAAAUCAGGUA
rnacentral:rRNA from 2 species